AGGAUAAACGCUGGCGGCGUGCCUAACACAUGCAAGUCGAACGGUAAGGCCUUUCGGGGUACACGAGUGGCGAACGGGUGAGUAACACGUGGGUGAUCUGCCCUGCACUUUGGGAUAAGCCUGGGAAACUGGGUCUAAUACCGAAUAUGACCAUUGGUUGCAUGACUGGUGGUGGAAAGCUUUUGCGGUGUGGGAUGGGCCCGCGGCCUAUCAGCUUGUUGGUGGGGUUAAGGCCUACCAAGGCGACGACGGGUA
rnacentral:rRNA from 1 species